GCCAACGUCCAUACCAAGUUGACGGUUCUCGUCCGAUCACCGAAGUUAAGCAACGUCGGGCGCGGUCAGUACUUGGAUGGGUGACCGCCUGGGAACACCGCGUGACGUUGGCU
rnacentral:rRNA from 1 species